rnacentral:tRNA from 1 species
GUAGACGGAUGCCCGCUGGUUUGGGCACUUAGCUGUUAACUAAGCUCUUGAGGGAUCGAGGCCCUCCCGUCUACU